GAUGAACGCUGGCGGCGUGCCUAAUACAUGCAAGUCGAGCGAACAGACGAGGAGCUUGCUCCUCUGACGUUAGCGGCGGACGGGUGAGUAACACGUGGAUAACCUACCUAUAAGACUGGGAUAACUGCGGGAAACCGGAGCUAAUACCGGAUAAUAUAUUGAACCGCAUGGUUCAAUAGUGAAAGACGGUUUUGCUGUCACUUAUAGAUGGAUCCGCGCCGCAUUAGCUAGUUGGUAAGGUAACGGCUUACCAAGGCAACGAUGCGUAGCCGACCUGAGAGGCGGAUCGGAGACACUGGAACUGGGACACGGUCCAGACUCCUACGGGAGGCCGCAGUAGGGAAUCUUCCGCAAUAGGCGAAAGCCUGACGGAGCAACGCGGCGUGGGUGAUGACGGUGUUGGGAUCGGAAAGAUGUGUUAUUAGGGAAGAACAAAUGUGUAAGUAACUGUGGACGUCUUGACGGUACCUGAACAAGAAGCCACGGCUAACUACGUG
rnacentral:rRNA from 1 species